GACUUCCAUCGGAGAAUGAAGAAGAAUUGUACAAUGAUCGAGUGUUGUGGUAGAAUUGGGCGUUGUGACGUCUAAUGCUGAAAGUGAAGGAAAAUUAAAGAAAAAAACUUGCGAAAGGAUGGUACAGUUGUGUAGACCGUAUGGAGAAGGAAUUACUUGUCUCUGUGAUGAAAAAGAUCAUGUUUUAAAAUGUUUUCUGGAAACUUCAAAUCCUACUCCUCAGGAGAUGGGUGAUGGUCUAGGGAUAGAUGGAUGCUGGAAGAGAGCAGAUAAUAGAACAGAAUUAAUCCUGUCUUUGACCCUAGCAGGAACCCUCAUACUAGUCUUUGUUUGGAAGCUGUUUUUCCAAGGCAGGGAAUGCUGCUGCUGCUCCCAGCAUGCUGCUGAAAAUAAGCAGAAACAGAACAGAAUUAUUUUACUUCAUUCAGAGGCACAAA